GUCUACAGUCAUGCUACCCUGACAAGCCCGAUCCCGUCUGAUCUCAGAAGCUAAGCAGGGUCGGGCCCGUUUAGUACUUGGAUGGGAAACCACCGAGGAAGACCAGGUGCUGUAGGCA
rnacentral:rRNA from 1 species